rnacentral:rRNA from 1 species
AUUGAACGCUGGCGGCAUGCUUUACACAUGCAAGUCGAACGGGCUUAGGUGCUUGCACCUAAGUUAGUGGCGAACGGGUGAGUAAUGCAUCGGAACGUACCGUGUAGUGGGGGAUAACCCGGCGAAAGUCGGAUUAAUACCGCAUACGAUCUAAGGAUGAAAGCAGGGGAUCGCAAGACCUUGCGCUAUACGAGCGGCCGAUGUCGGAUUAGCUAGUUGGUAGGGUAAAGGCCUACCAAGGCAACGAUCCGUAGCGGGUCUGAGAGGAUGAUCCGCCACACUGGGACUGAGACACGGCCCAGACUCCUACGGGAGGCAGCAGUGGGGAAUUUUGGACAAUGGGCGAAAGCCUGAUCCAGCCAUGCCGCGUGAGUGAAGAAGGCCUUCGGGUUGUAAAGCUCUUUUGUCCGGGAGCAAAUCCUGUUCACUAAUACUGAGCGGGGCUGAGAGUACCGGAAGAAUAAGCACCGGCUAACUACGUGCCAGCAGCCGCAGUAA